rnacentral:lncRNA from 1 species
AACUGAAGACAGCUGUUUGAUUGCUACUUGAGAGAGUAGAGUUGAACAAGCUUGAAUAUGGAUGAUCUCAUUCGGCUUUAUAAAACUAAACAGAGCACAGGCAGCUAGUUGAAUAAUAUAUCUCCAAGGAAAAGAAGAGUUAGUGUAAUUUAUCUUUGUCAUAAUAUAUAUCAUGAUCUUGCUUAUAAACUCCAGAUAGGAUUUCUGUUUCCAAAGGUCAGAUUAUCUUUAGCAUGGUGACCUCACUCUUCAGUAACAACAUUUCUGUACAGAUCUUCUGCGGUGAAUGUAAAUGGACUGAUACAGACAGCAUGGUGAUCUGCUCUCUCCUGACUUGAAAUGUAAGAAGUAACAUGAAGACAUUUUCAUUUCUCAGGCAAACUUCAGUAAAAUUGAG